UUGGUGAAAGAAACUUUUCUAAGGAGCUAUGGAGAAAGUACCGCAAGGGAAAGAUGGAAGACAUGCUACAAGUACAAAAAAGCAAAGAUUAUAGACCUUGUAUCUUUUGCAUAAUGAACCAGCAAACCUCUAACUAAGAGAACUUUAGCUAGAAACCCCUGAAACCAAAUGAGCUACCUAAAAGGAAUUUUAUGAAUAAACCCGUCUAUGCAGUAAAAUAGUGGGAAGACUUCUAGGUAGAGGCCCAACGAGCUUGGUUAUAGCUGGUUACCCAACAAAGAAUUUCAGCUCAACUUUAAGUUUACCAUAAGAAAUCACAAUUUAAGUGUAAACUUAAAAUAUAGCCUAAAGAGGUCUUUAGGAAUGGAAAUAACCUCAAAUAGUGAGUAAACCAUAAAAAUAAACCAUAGUUGGCUUAAAAGCAGCCACCAAUAAAGAAGUCGUUCAAGCUCAACACCCAGGACAUUAUCAAUACCUAAAAUCAUAGUCAUUUCCUAAUAAUUAUAAUUGGGUUUAUCUAUUUUUAUAUUAAUGAAAUACUGUUAGCAUGAGUAACAAGAAUUUUAUUCUCCACGCACUAGCCUAUAACAACCCGGAUGACCAUUGUUAAUUAACAUUCAUGCAAGUAUAUUAACCCCCUAUAAAACCUACUUUACACAUAAUGAUACUCCAACACAGGUGUGCUUAAAGGAAAGCUGAAAAUAAAAGGAACAUGGCAAACAAGAGUUUACCAAAAAACAUCACCUCUAGCAUCACAAGUAUUAGAGGCAAUGCCUGCCCAGUGACAGAGUUAAACGGCUGCAUUAUCCUGACCGUGCAAAGGUAGCAUAAACACUUGUUCCUUAAUUAGGGACUAGAAUGAACGGCUAAAGGAGGGUUCAACUAACUGUCUCUUAUUUCUAAUCAGUGAAAUUGACCUUUCCGUGAAGAGGCAGGGAUUCAACAAUAAGACUAGAAGACCUUAUGGAGCUUUAAUCUCUUAGUCUAAUCUUUUAAAUAAACUACCUAUUGGCCCUAAUAAUAUAAACUAUAGAUUUCGUUUGGGGUGACCUCAGAGAAUAAAAAGAACCUCUGAGUGAUUAUAGCUCAGAUCCACAAGUCAAAGCGCCUAAAAUCUUAUUGACCCAAAACAUUUUUGAUUCUGGCGCCUGAGUUCCAGGACAACUUCCAAAGCAAUAGAGAAAUCCUGUCUUGAAAAAAACAAAACAAACCAAAAAACAAACAAACAAACCCAACAAAACAAAACAUUUUUGAUCAACAGACCAAGUUUCCCUAGGGCUAACAGUGCAAUCCUAUCCAAGAGUUCAUAUCGACAAUUAGGGUUUGCACCUGGAUGCUGGAUCAGGACAUCCCAAUCGUGCAGCAGCUAUUAAAGGUUCCUUUGUUCAACGAUUAAAGUCCUACAUGAUCUGAUCUGAGUUUAGACGGGAAUAACCCAGGUCGGUUUCUAUCUCUUAACAAUUUCUCCCAGUACGAAAGGACAAGAGAAAUGGAGCCUCCUUAAGGUAAGUGCCCCAAACCAAUUAAGGAAAUCAUCUUAAUAUAGCAAACUCUCUCAAAAGCACCCUAGACAAGGGCUUAUUGGGGUGGCAGAGCCCGGAUUACAUGAGACUUAAAACCUUGUUCUCAGAGGUUCAAAUCCUCUCCCCAAUAGUGCAUCUAGUCAACAAAC
rfam:Cricetulus griseus cell line CHO-K1, whole genome shotgun sequence.